GGGUGCGAUCAUACCAGCACUAAUGCACCGGAUCCCAACAGAACUCCGCAGUUAAGUGUGCUUGGGCGAGAGUAGUACUAGGAUGGGUGACCUCCCGGGAAGUCCUCGUGUUGCACCCC
rnacentral:rRNA from 1 species